rnacentral:rRNA from 1 species
UACGAAGGGGGCUAGCGUUGUUCGGAAUUACUGGGCGUAAAGCGCAUGCAGGCGGUCUUUUAAGUCGGGGGUGAAAUCCCGAGGCUCAACCUCGGAACUGCCUUCGAUACUGGAAGUCUUGAGUCCGGGAGAGGUGAGUGGAACUCCGAGUGUAGAGGUGAAAUUCGUAGAUAUUCGGAAGAACACCAGUGGCGAAGGCGGCUCACUGGCCCGGUACUGACGCUGAGAUACGAAAGCGUGGGGAGCAAACAGG